CAAAAACAAGCUAAGAAGACGUGUUUACUGUUUACUUUUUUAGCAGUUUAUUGUUUAGCUUUUGCUAAUAAUCGUUUUGGCUAUUUUUCAAAUCGAAAACCGUAGAUGGGUCCAAGUCGGACGCGAAAAGCAAAAAAAAAACGGCGACUUUUUCGAUUGUUUCUGGUACAUAUUAUAACACAAAAAAUAUAAUAUGUAUAAUAUUAUCUAUAAUACAUUUUAGUUUUGGCCAGCUUAGUGAUUCAUGUUUUACAUCAAUAAACACCACAAUAUUACAAUAAACUACGGGUAUAUCAGGUUUAUACUUCAUGGUUUUUUGGUACCGUCAGAAAAACUCGCUGAUUAUUGUUAUUGUUUGGUGUAUUACUGUAUUGUGGUGUCGAAAAUCAUACACAAUAUUACGAUAUAUACCAAAUCCCCACACUAAAAUAUCAAACCAGAUUCAGCAACUAAUUUUUGUUAUUUAUUUUUCUAUUUAGACAUUUACCUGAUUUAUUUAUCUGGUAAAAUGAAUUUUAAAAGUUACAAAGUAUACUUGUAAUCCACUCAUCAUUAAACUUUUGUAAAUAAUCUACUUGUUAAUAUAAGGUUGUACAGAGAAGAAGAGGUACGGAAGAUAAACAAUCAACACUUCAAGAAAAGUAAUUUAAUAGCAUAAAAGUUCAUUCUAUGUUUGCUUAGCACUUGAAUGUUAUGUAUGUGAAGUGUAAAGUAUGGCUAAGUAGAAAUUGCAUAAUUACUCAUUUUACUAAAACAAAUAUUUAACAAAAAUUUGUAAAAGUUAGGAUAAGGAGUGUUAUUAAAAGUACAAUCUGAUGUAAUACAAUUUGGUAAUAUCAUUUUCAUAAUUUAUCGUGUUAAAGGAAUCCAACAAUACACAGUAUGUAUUAAACUAUUAAAGUUAAAUAUAUGAAAGAUUUAUCACCUGCAGGAGUUUGUUACAAUAUUGCAAAUCUUAUACGCAUAGACCAUUGUUUAUAAGCUAUGGAUGGAUAAGGUACACGAGGAAAAAAAGAUUGGCUACGGAUGAAAUUCUAUACAAUGUAUCACAUGUUCAUGGGGAGUAUUAAAAACUAAAAUCUUACAAAAAAUGCAUGGAACAUCAGCUGAAAUGUUGGCACGUCAUUUAAUUGAGGCAUAGUGGAUCUAUUAACAGGCAAGAUACAAUUUUUUUUAAAUUUUUAAGUGAUGUACAAAAAGUGUAUUGCUAAACAUAAUUUAAUAUUUAUAAUAAAAUAAUUUUAUGAUUUUUAA